rnacentral:rRNA from 1 species
GGCACGCCUAACACAUGCAAGUCGAACGAAGUAGCAAUACUUAGUGGCAGACGGGUGAGUAACAUGUAGGUAUCUGCCCUUUGGCCUGGAAUAACACGAGGAAACUUGUGCUAAUACCGGAUAAGUCUUUACGGAGAAAGCUUUAUGCACCAUUGGAUGAGCCUGCACUUGAUUAGUUUGUUGGUGGGGUAAUGGCCUACCAAGACUGUGAUCAAUAGCUGAUUUGAGAGGAUGAUCAGCCACAUUGGGACUGAGACACGGCCCAAACUCCUACGGGAGGCAGCAGUGGGGAAUCUUGCACAAUGGAGGAAACUCUGAUGCAGCGAUGCCGCGUGAGUGAAGAAGGCCCUUGGGUUGUAAAGCUCUUUCGUCGGGGAAGAAAAUGACUGUACCCGAAUAAGAAGG